AGGGCUUGACAUGCCGCGUGACCGGUUUAGAGAUAGAUCGUUUACCCUUCGGGGUACAGCGGACACAGGUGGUGCAUGGUUGUCGUCAGCUCGUGUCGUGAGAUGUUGGGUUAAGUCCCGCAACGAGCGCAACCCUUGUCUUUAGUUGCCAUCAUUAAGUUGGGCACUCUAAAGAGACUGCCGAUGACAAAUCGGAGGAAGGUGGGGAUGACGUCAAAUCAUCAUGCCCUUUAUGUCCUGGGGCUACACACGUGCUACAAUGGUCGGUACAACGAGAAGCAAGUCAGCGAUGGCAAGCAAAUCUCUAAAAAGCCCGAUCCCAGUUCGGAUUGCAGGCUGCAACUCGCCUGCAUGAAGUCGGAGUUGCUAGUAAUCGCGGAUCAGAAUGCCGCGGUGAAUGCGUUCCCGGGUCUU
rnacentral:rRNA from 2 species